AGUGGCGAACGGGUGAGUAACACGUGAGUAACCUGCCCUUCACUCUGGGAUAAGCCUGGGAAACUGGGUCUAAUACUGGAUAUGACUGACCGUCGCAUGGUGGUUGGUGGAAAGAUUUUUUGGUGGAGGAUGGGCUCGCGGCCUAUCAGUUUGUUGGUGGGGUAGUGGCCUACCAAGGCUUUGACGGGUAGCCGGCCUGAGAGGGCGACCGGCCACACUGGGACUGAGACACGGCCCAGACUCCUACGGGAGGCAGCAGUGGGGAAUAUUGCACAAUGGGCGAAAGCCUGAUGCAGCGACGCCGCGUGCGGGAUGACGGCCUUCGGGUUGUAAACCGCUUUCGCCAGGGACGAAGCUUUUGUGACGGUACCUGGAGAAGAAGCACCGGCUAACUACGUGCCAGCAGCCGCGGUAAUACGUAGGGUGCGAGCGUUGUCCGGAAUUAUUGGGCGUAAAGGGUGCGCAGGCGGUUGUAAAAGAUUGUGGUUAAAGAAUGGGGCUCAACCCCAUAAUGCCAUGAUAACUUUACAACUAGAGUGCANAAGAGGAGAGUGGAAUUCCAUGUGUAGCGGUGAAAUGCGUAGAUAUAUGGAGGAACACCNGUGGCGAAG
rnacentral:rRNA from 1 species